rnacentral:lncRNA from 1 species
AGAUGAGCAGCAUGGAAGGGCAGUGGUGCCUGAGUCCAGGUGGGCUACUUUUCUGCUCCGAGAGGCUCUGCCUGCCCAGUUGUUCUCUGCAUUGCAGCCUCAAUCCCCACAGCCUUGCCUUCCCCCGGCUUUCCCUACAGGUGCACCGCAUCCACAGUGUUGGCACCAUGCAGCAGCCGCUCUCCGUCCUUUUCUAGAUCAUGCUGCUUUUAGCAUUCUUAGCAUUUCACAUGCUGAGCUCUCAAUACUCUACCAUGAGGAGGGAUGGAGUGGGUAUGAAAAGAUAAAGAACUGAAGUCACACGGCUUGUCAGUGGCAGAGAUAGAGCUUGAACCGUGGUUGAAGAGCUCCCGCCUAUUCCUUUCCUCUUCUCACUGGAUAAAGCUGCUCCAAGAGAGGUGCUGCCUCAGUGUGCCUGUUCAGACUGUAAUCCUCCCUUCCUUCCUGCCUCCUCCCUCCUCUCUCCAGCCCAUCAUCUUCGUUUCAGACAGAGCAAACAGCAACAAGGAGCUGGGUGUGGACCAGGAGUCAGAGGAGGGCAAAGGCAAAACAAGCCCUGAUAAGCAAAAGCAGUCCCCACAGCCACAACCUGGCAGCUCUGACCAGGAAAGUGAGGAACAGCAACAAUUCCGGAACAUUUUCAAGCAGAUAGCAGGAGAUGACAUGGAGAUCUGUGCAGAUGAGCUCAAGAAGGUCCUUAACACAGUCGUGAACAAACACAAGGACCUGAAGACACACGGGUUCACACUGGAGUCCUGCCGUAGCAUGAUUGCGCUCAUGGAUACAGAUGGCUCUGGAAAGCUCAACCUGCAGGAGUUCCACCACCUCUGGAACAAGAUUAAGGCCUGGCAGGUGGGAAGAGAAAAUGAAGUGUGGGAGUCAAGAAUGGGGUUGAUUUGGAGAUUCAGUGUGUGACCUCCAUCCUCAAAUUUUCUAUUGCCAGAAAAUUUUCAAACACUAUGACACAGACCAGUCCGGCACCAUCAACAGCUACGAGAUGCGAAAUGCAGUCAACGACGCAGGAUUCCACCUCAACAACCAGCUCUAUGACAUCAUUACCAUGCGGUACGCAGACAAACACAUGAACAUCGACUUCGACAGUUUCAUCUGCUGCUUCGUUAGGCUGGAGGGCAUGUUCAGAGCUUUUCAUGCAUUUGACAAGGAUGGAGAUGGUAUCAUCAAGCUCAACGUUCUGGAGUGGCUGCAGCUCACCAUGUAUGCCUGAACCAGGCUGGCCUCAUCCAAAGCCAUGCAGGAUCACUCAGGAUUUCAGUUUCACCUUCUAUUUCCAAAGCCACUUACCUCAAAGGACCCAGCAGCUACACCCCUACAGGCUUCCAGGCACCUCAUCAGUCAUGUUCCUCCUCCAUUUUACCCCCUACCCAUCCUUGAUCGGUCAUGCCUAGCCUGACCCUUUAGUAAAGCAAUGAGGUAGGAAGAACAAACCCUUGUCCCUUUGCCAUGUGGAGGAAAGUGCCUGCCUCUGGUCCGAGCCGCCUCGGUUCUGAAGCGAGUGCUCCUGCUUACCUUGCUCUAGGCUGUCUGCAGAAGCACCUGCCGGUGGCACUCAGCACCUCCUUGUGCUAGAGCCCUCCAUCACCUUCACGCUGUCCCACCAUGGGCCAGGAACCAAACCAGCACUGGGUUCUACCUCGUUAUUAUUUUAGGAGAGGCCUGCUGUGGGGUAAACUAACUCAGUGGAAUAGGGCUGGUUACUUUGGGCUGUCCAACUCAUAAGUUUGGCUGCAUUUUGAAAAAAGCUGAUCUAAAUAAAGGCAUGUGUAUGGCUG